rnacentral:rRNA from 1 species
UGGGGAAUAUUGCACAAUGGACGGAAGUUUGAUGCAGCGACGCCGCGUGGAGGGUGUAGGCCUUCGGGUUGUGAACUCCUUUUUCUCGCGAAAAAGGCACAGUUUUGGCUGUGUUGAUGGUAGUGGGGGAAGAAGCGCCGGCUAACUACGUGCCAGCAGCCGCGGUAAUACGUAGGGCGCGAGCGUUGUCCGGAUUUAUUGGGCGUAAAGAGCUCGUAGGUGGUUCGUCGCGUCUGUCGUGAAAGCCAGCAGCUUAACUGUUGGUCUGCGGUGGGUACGGGCGGGCUUGAGUGCGGUAGGGGUGACUGGAAUUCCUGGUGUAGCGGUGGAAUGCGCAGAUAUCAGGGGGAACACCGAUGGCGAAGGCAGGUCACUGGGCCGUUACUGACACUGAGGAGCGAAAGCGUGGGGAGCGAACAGG